rnacentral:lncRNA from 1 species
GACUUUGAGCCUGGUGUGCGAUCGAGAGAAGGGCCAGGGAACUCUUUCCCUCUCAUAAACCCUAAGUCACUAAAAUUCCAUCAAUUAAAGGUGAAAUUAGCAAGGAAUCGAAUUCAUGAGCUAGGAAUUUUGAUGUACUAAGUGUUCUUAACCCCAAAUGGUUAAGAAUUUGUGAAGUUCUACAUGCUAAUUAGGAUAUGCGUCGUAUUAGCAAGGGAUCAAGCAUGGAAAGCUAACGGGUCAAGAGGAGACAAGGAAGUGAAUGCGAAAACGGACGCUCAAGGUAAGUGAUUCCGUAAUCACUUCUUAGUUUGUUUAAGUAAUGUAGCAUUUUAAUUAAUUAAACAUGAUGUUUAAUGUCAAAUAUGGAUUUAGUUGAAUGAAAUUGGUGAAUUUUUCUAAGUAGACCAAACGGGUCAAAAUGAGGUCUUAUGAUUAUAUCGAAAAGUUGUAUAAGAAAUGGCUACGGUAGUAUAAACGGUUAAUGGGUAGAAUUGCACAUAAGUACGCAAUCCGGGAAUCGGAGAUGUGGUUUAAUAGUCAAAAGACUCAGAUGUGAGUUGGUUUAAUAGAUAUUUAUUUGCGCAAGUGGAGGUUUUAGUAGCAAGUUUGAUACGUAGGUUUAAAUGGAAUGAAUGAAUUUAAUGAAUACCGGGUAUCGGUUGCGUAAACCCCAAGUACGAAACUCUAGAUAAUAUAAGAGUAUUAUGGAUAUAAUGUUCAUGUAUGUUUUGGGUUAAAACAAAGGAGUGGUUUGAUGAAAACAUAAACGGGUCAAAUAAUUAGAAAAUGGUUAUUAAGCCGAUAGCGUGUAAGUUAAGAAUU